GUUCUCCCCAUUUCCCAUGCAGUCAAAAAGGCACACUUACUCUCACUGCUCUCGCUCACACUCUAGUCCCUCUCACGCAGUCAUUGUAUGCACAGUGAAGCACUAGUCCCCAUAUGUGAAACCCAUCUGCACGCUGGUGCUUUGUUUCUCAUUUCAGGACCAUUCCUUCACUCUUUCUCUCUCUUCCUCUAUUUUUCUCUCUCUUUCUUUCCUUCUUGGUCUUUACCAUGGUGGUCUAUUCACGGGUCUUGUUGUUGGGUUUGCUUGCGUUUCUUGCAAUGCAGCUUCCUCUCAUAAUGGCAGAUUGCCCACUGGAUAUGAGUGGAUCAAACUUCACCCUUGCAGCUUCUUUAUGCUCCAAUAAAGAUGACAGAGGAAAGUGUUGCCGCUAUAUUAAUGCUUUUAUUGCGGUUUCUAUUGCUCGCUAUGCAAAUAGAACUAGUAACCUAGGGGUUGCCUCAAAUUUAUCUGAUAUCUGCCUCCAUUCCAUUUCACAAACAAUGGAGCUAUAUGGCAUUCCAAAAAAUGCAACAGUGUUUUGUGGGUUUGGGACAAAAAUUCCAGUUAAUUUUGAGUGCAAGGGUCGAACAACUGUCACUCAGAUUCUCCAGUCGCCAAAGUUUAAUGAUGUUAUGCAAAAUUGCAAAGUGCCCUUUUCUGCAGAAAGUAGUUGCAGGAAGUGUAUAAAUGCUGCAAUCGUAUACCUUCAUCUUCUGGUGGGAACAACUGAUAAUAUAACACUGAGUACUUGCCGUGAUGCAACUUAUGCCGCACUUGCAAGCCAGGUUGAUGAUGCUUCAGCUGUCAACAUUGCAGCCUGUUUCUUUGGAGUUCAAGGGCUUAACAUCCCUCCAGAGCCAUCAUCCCCAUCCACACCUACUCCUGGUCCUGGGGCUUCUCCAAGGCCAUUGGUUGCUGAUAGUCCAAGCCAAGUUGUGUUGGGAGUAACCUUAAAUGACAACCACCAUCCCUUCCACCUGACAUUAAUUCCAGGUGUGGGCAUUGCAGUUACAGUCAUUGCUGUUACAAUGCUGAUAGUCCUGAUGGUUCUUAUUCGUAGGAAACACAAAGAGCUAGAGCAAUCUGAGAAAAUAGACAAGACCUCAAAAGCCUUCCCUCCUCCUCGGCCUUUGCGAAAAUUUCAAGAAGGAGUGGGACCUCAGUCAAUGUUCCGAAAAUUCAGCUACAAGGAAACAAAUAAGGCAACAGAUAGCUUCAACACAAUCAUUGGACAGGGGGGAUUUGGAACUGUAUAUAAUGCUCAAUUUAGUGAUGGCUUAGUGGCAGCAGUAAAGAGGAUGAAUAAGGUUUCAGAGCAGGGGGAAGAAGAUUUUUGCAGAGAAAUAGAACUUCUUGCUCGACUGCAUCACCGUCAUCUUGUUUCUUUAAGAGGCUUUUGCAUAAAAAAACAUGAGAGGUUUCUGAUAUACGAGUAUAUGAAAAAUGGAAGCUUAAAAGAUCAUCUUCAUUCCCCUGGAAGAACUCCUCUGAGUUGGCAGACAAGAAUUCAGAUUGCUAUUGAUGUGGCUAAUGCCCUUGAGUACCUCCACUUCUAUUGUGAUCCACCUCUGUGCCACAGAGACAUCAAGUCAAGCAACAUUUUACUGGAUGAAAACUUUGUUGCUAAGGUUGCAGAUUUCGGCCUCGCACAUGCAUCAAAAGAUGGUUCUAUUUCCUUUGAACCUGUGAAUACUGAUAUCCGCGGAACUCCUGGUUAUAUGGAUCCUGAGUAUGUGGUCACUCAAGAACUCACUGAGAAAAGUGAUAUAUAUAGUUAUGGUGUUGUACUGUUGGAGAUAGUAACUGCAAGGAGAGCAAUACAAGACAACAAGAAUUUAGUGGAAUGGUCUCAAAAAUUCAUGGCAUCAGAAAUAAGACUACCUGAGUUAGUGGAUCCACGUAUCCGGGAUUCCUUUGACUUGGACCAGCUUCAAACAAUUGUGACUAUUGUGAAAUGGUGCACACAGAGGGAAGGACAAGCUAGGCCUUCAAUCAAACAGGUUCUUAGGCUUUUAUAUGAGAGCUCAGACCCAAUGCAUAGUGGGUUUUUGCAAGCUGUGGAAGAUGAAGAGUAUGAAGGAAGUGAAGAAAGAGGAAGGAGAAGUAAAGGAAAAAUGCAUAGAAGUGAUGGGGUUUUUCAUAGUGGGGAUGGAAGAUAUCUUGCUUCAUCAAGUACAUCAAGGUCAUAUUGUAGCAGAAGCUUUUUACUUGAAACUGGCUCUCCACAAUCUCCCCCCAAUAUACUCUCUCUUUGAGGUUUUGUCAUUUUUCUGCUUCAAGCCUUUGAUCAUCAAUCAUGGUUUUACUGGAAAGCUGUAGCACCAUGUCAGAAUCAUCGUUGAGACAUUCUGUUGACAUGAUUUAUGACAAGAUGACAGACAACAGGAUAGUUCCAUGGACAGCCAUGUAUCUCAAGCCCAGCCGGCCUGAAGCAAAAGCACUGUUAGCAAAUACAGCCUGCCAUUAUCAAUUGACAAAUUGUCAGAUGGUUAAAAACUAUGCUACCAGCUUAGUAAAUAUCAAUAUCUCUCUUCAGCUUAAAUGUUCAUCGUUCAAAUUCAUUCUUAGCCAUCCAUUUAUACUUGUUAUAAUAACCCAGAUAUGCCUCUGCAUUACAGUGGAAUCUGGCAGAUAGAUCAACAUUGCAAAACUCUUGUUAUUACUUGAUUUCAUCGACCUAAGGUCUUGGCUUGAAGUGAGCAGUAUGUGUAUA